rnacentral:misc_RNA from 1 species
AAAGUCGUAACAAGGUCUCCGUAGGUGAACCUGCGGAGGGAUCAUUAACAAAGCAAGGUGUUCAGGAAAGAGGCGACUGCGUAGCAGGAGCGUCUUUUCUGAAUUCCCAAAAUCAUGUUGCCACUGUGUGGUUGGAGCAAUUCAACUCGCGGUGGCACACAUACAUACUCACUUUUCUACAACAAUUUCUUCAACUAAAACAAUGAACAACUUUUAACAAUGGAUCUCUUGGCUCUUGCAUCGAUGAAAGC